AUCUUUACAGCAGCAGCUCAAUGACACCAGAUUUAUCAGAUUCCUUGAGGGAGGAUCAGCUCAUGAAAGCACUUAUGCCUUUUAUGAAAAGUGUUUCAUCAACCUCUUCUUUGACAUCUAUUUCUUCUUCUAUUUCUUCACCAACCUCUCCUUCUACUUCUUCUUCCUUUUCUUCCUACCCUUCUUACACUUACCAUCCUCCACUCUACUCUACUCAGCCCAAUUUGUACCCUGACUUUUGCUCGCCAUCCACAACCCACAUGUUUGAUCAAGUGAGUUUUGAGCAAACAGGUUCAAUAGGGCUU
rnacentral:lncRNA from 1 species